CCUACGGGUGGCAGCAGUGAGGAAUAUUGGUCAAUGGACGAGAGUCUGAACCAGCCAAGUAGCGUGAAGGAUGACUGCCCUAUGGGUUGUAAACUUCUUUUAUAUGGGAAUAAAAUGUUCCACGUGUGGGAUUUUGUAUGUACCAUAUGAAUAAGGAUCGGCUAACUCCGUGCCAGCAGCCGCGGUAAUACGGAGGAUCCGAGCGUUAUCCGGAUUUAUUGGGUUUAAAGGGAGCGUAGGUGGAUUGUUAAAUCAGUUGUGAAAGUUUGCGGCUCAACCGUAAAAUUGCAGUUGAAACUGGCAGUCUUGAGUACAGUAGAGGUGGGCGGAAUUCGUGGUGUAGCGGUGAAAUGCUUAGAUAGCACGAAGAACUCCGAUUGCGAAGGCAGUUCACUGGACUGCAACUGACACUGAGGCUCGAAAGUGUGGGUAUCAAACAGGAUUAGAUACCCCUGUAGUC
rnacentral:rRNA from 1 species